GUUUUAAUAGGACCCUUAUGUCGGAGCCAACCCUAUCUCACAGCGAAUUCGUAAUAAUUCAAACGAUUUAACCAAGUGGCUAAAUCGUAUGAAAUCAUACGAGCUGGCUCGUACGAAAUCGUACGAUUAGUUCAUCGCAUUUAACACAGCCCUGUGUCGCAGGGAUUUCGUGCUAAUUAAUACGAAUAUAUUAAAUCGUACUAUACCAUACGAUUUUGUUCAUCGCAUUCAAGAAGCGUGACCCGUAGCCAGAAAAAAACCUCUGGGUGUGCAUCUGAAAAUCUGCGUGUGUCACAGGCAGGCAAGAUAACCAUAAACGCUGGGGAAUUCAGGUGCUGUAAUCGACUCAUCUCGUUAUAGAUCAAGAUAAUUUAUGAAGAUCUUUAAACGAAGGAUUGGAAUAUCAGAUAGUUGACAUGGUGUGCCACUCUGGGUGGCUCCGGCACACUCGUGGCUACGCCCUGCCGUGACCCAAAUCUCAUUCGCACAUCAUCGCGAUAUUUAUCAUCAAUUUACAAAUGUCAUCACAUCUCGAUCAAGUACAGUACCAGAUGGCUUGAUGGGUUUGGGCUCACAGACGGGGAAGGAAUGGAAAGGCUGUGGUCUUUCCUCCAAAGAUUUUCCAGAGUCACAAAGGAGAUGACUCCAUCUCAUCGCCUUGACCUACUGACUGAUGCCCUUUUGCAUUAUGGACGGAGGAAAUCAACUGACCUAGAGGUGCAGCUCCUGCAAAGAGUAGACAAAGCAGAGAAAAUAUUGCUCAAGAAGAUAUCUCAUCUGUCAUCAGAGAGGCACCAGUGUUGAUUUCUGAAGGAGACAUGGCGAGAUGGAAAAAAAGCUAGCCCAACAGAAACCAAUAAUGGUACUGUGGUAGUAAUGUCGUCUUUUCUUCAGAGACUCUGUCUGUAGAUGGAAAAGCGACUACAUCAUUAGACUGAUUCAGUUCUACAAGUUCAAAUAUUAGAAUUGAGGACUCUGCUGAACAUUGAGAAAAAAUACCGUAUUGGGAGAAGAUGGCAAGAGUCGGAUUCAAACUUCCAGUCUACCCUUAAAGAUGUGGACCGUGAGCUCAGAGUCCAACUUCAAGGCUAGAACUGAAUCAAGGGAGAGAGAGCAGUCCUCCUCCACCUGAGAAGAAUAUAUCCAUCUUUGCUUCAGAUGGGCAGGGCAUUGCCAUUAGACUCUCCAAGCAGGUAGCCAGCUCCAGCAAUAGACUGAGACAGGCAAUAAAAGAAUACAACAGCAUUCAAUGGUCACCGCAGAUGAGCUUCUUACCUGCGACAAUUGAUUUUCAGGAAUCAUGUGAUCCCUCUUGGCAUGUCUACUUCUGCUUUGAUGACACUAUUGAAGAAGAUGAUGUUUCGAGGAGGCGAGGGAUUGAUGCCUUACAUAUGAAGACUCAUUCAACGCUUCCAACAGCUGGAAAGAAAACUACAUCAAGCCAUUGUGAUGUUUCACCCACAUGUAUCAGACUUUGUUCCUGCAGACAACCCCCACUUGUGUCAGGCCCUCCCCAUGCCAAGCAUACAGACACUGGUAUACAAUGAUAAGAGUGAUAAUGACAAUGUGGAUAAAUAUGAUAACUACGGAGAUCAUUGUGUUUGGCUCGCCCGAUGUUCUGGAAAAUUCUUUUGGAAAUUCUGGUAUUUUAUCUUCUUCGGUCAAAUCAAGUGUAAAAAACUUAGGUGUAUUUUUCGAUAGUGCACUAAAAUUUGAUAGGCAAAUAAAUGCAGUUGUAAAAGCGAGUUUUUACCAAUUAAGAAUGCUGGCUAAAGUGAAGACCUUUCUUUCUUUUAAACACUUAGAAAUUGCAACCCACGCUUUUAUUUCGUCCAGAAUUGAUUAUUGUAAUGCGCUGUAUGUGGGAAUAAAUAGCUCGUUAAUAGCGAGAUUACAAAUGGUUCAAAAUUCCGCUGCGCGGCUGUUAACCGGCGUUCGUAAAUACGAACAUAUUUCUCCUGUGCUAAUGUCUUUACAUCGGCUUCGGGUACAGUGUAGAAUUGAUUUUAAAGUGCUUUUGCUCGUUUUUAAAUCGUUAAAUGGACUCGCUCCCCUCUACAUCUCGGAUUUGUUGGGUGAAUAUCGUCCAGAAAGAACUCUUCGGUCUGCCAACCAGAAUCUGUUAACUGUUCCAAAGUCCAAAUUAAAAUCUAGGGGUGACCGAGCUUUUGCCAUAGCCGCACCUAAACUUUGGAACACUUUACCGCUUCAUAUAAGAAUAUCCCCAACAUUACAUAUUUUUAAAUCUAAGUUAAAAACAUACUUUUUUACUAAGGCCUAUGACUCGUGAUGAUAUUUGUUGUCUGAUGUUGAUGUGGUUUGUAUAUUUGUGUUUUUUUUAAUUAGUCAUUAUCUCAUUGUACAGCACAUUGGUCAACUGGAGUUGUUUUUAAUCGUGCUUUAUAAAUAAAUUGAGACUUGAGACUUGAACUAGCACUACAGAUAUUUUUUUAAUUUCUAGUCUGAUAUUGUAUUCUGUAAAAAGAAUGAUGUAAAUGUAUAUGUUGCAGCAUAUCAUAGAAACCUUUAUGGUGGUGUAAUAUAAUGCUCGCCUUACUUGUGCAAACAUGAUGUUUUACUAGGUCUGAUUUAUUUUAAAGCGUAGGUACUGUUUUUAAGCACACAUAUUCACACUAGUCUGUGUGAGGACAAAAUUGUGUGUUUAUCAUUGUGAUGUUACUUA